rnacentral:rRNA from 1 species
UGACGCUGGCGGCGUGCUUCAAACAUGCAAGUCGAACGGAGUUAAUUUUGAAGCUUGCUUUAGAAUUAACUUAGUGGCGGACUGGUGAGUAACGCGUGAGUAAUCUGCCUAUCACAGGGGGAUAACAGAGGGAAACUUCUGCUAAUACCGCAUAAGACCACAGGAUGGCAUCAUCAAGGGGUCAAAGGUUAGAUCUGGUGAUAGAUGAGCUUGCGUAUCAUUAGCUAGUUGGUGAGGGUAAAGGCCCACCAAGGCGACGAUGAUUAGCCGAUCUGAGAGGAUGACCGGCCACACUGGGACUGAGAUACGGCCCAGACUCCUACGGGAGGCAGCAGUUAGGAAUAUUGGGCAAUGGAGGAAACUCUGACCCAGCAACGCCGCGUGAAGGAAGAAGGUUUUCGGACUGUAAACUUCUGAUCUAAGGGAAAAAGAAAGUGAUGGUACCUUAGGAGAAAGCCACGGCUAACUACGUGCCAGCAGCCGCGGUAA